UGAACUUUUUAAAAAACAAAAAGAUUGCUUUUAAUUUCCAUUUAAUGAAAAUAAUUCUCUACUAUUAUCUAAUAAAUCAUCCCUUCAUAGAUGAAGAAUGGUGUGUGUGUGUGUGUGUGUGUGUGUGUGUGUGUUUCAA